rnacentral:rRNA from 1 species
UACGUAGGGCGCAAGCGUUAUCCGGAAUUAUUGGGCGUAAAGAGCUCGUAGGCGGCUUGUCGCGUCGUCCGUGAAAACCCACAGCUCAACUGUGGGCUUGCGGUCGAUACGGGCAGGCUAGAGUUCGGUAGGGGAGACUGGAAUUCCUGGUGUAGCGGUGAAAUGCGCAGAUAUCAGGAGGAACACCGGUGGCGAAGGCGGGUCUCUGGGCCGAUACUGACGCUGAGGAGCGAAAGCGUGGGGAGCGAACAGG